UCCGACUCAGACUUCAUAUAAACAUCUGCAAGACAGUCUCUCCAGCCUCCAGCUAACUGUCGUACUGAAGUCUGGGACACUGACAGCUCUCACAGUCCAGCAUCUAUAGAAUUAAACCUUUUUAGCAAUUUACAGGACAAACGCGGACAUACUAUCAGUACAAGAAAGGAAGAUACAAGAGAUGAGAAUUUUAAAGAUCACAAUCGUCAUUUUCAUAAUAGUGACGACAUCUUCAAAACCAGUCCGCCGUUUUAAAUACCAUUUUGUGAACACGAGAGAUGAGA